rnacentral:rRNA from 1 species
CGACCUCAGUUCAGGAGAGACUACCCCCCGAAUUUAAGCAUAUCAAUAAGGGGAGGAAAAGAAACUAAC